AGUCUGUACAAAGUCAGACUGUAGAUCCUGAAAGUACCCUCUAACUAGGCUCCAGAAACAGAAAAAAACACUAAAAUUCAAGUGGAACCAUGACAGAUCCCUAACAGCUGAAACAAUCUUAAGAAGAAAGAACAAAGCUGGAGGCAUCGCAGUUCCUUUUUUUGGCCACACCUUGAGACUUUCAGGAUCUUAAUUCCCUGAGCAGGGGCUGGACCCCGGACUUCAGCAGCCAAAGUGCAGAGUCCUAACUACUAGACUGCCAUGAAACUCCGAGCAUCACACUUACUGAUUUAAAACUUGACAGUAAAUCUAUAGCAGUCACACAGCAUGGUACUGGCAUAAAAACUGGGCUUCCCAGCUAGCGCAGCGGUAACGGAUCCGCCUGUCGAUACAGGAGACGCAGGAGACAGGGGUUCAAUCCUCAGCCUGGGAAGAUGCCCUGGAUGAGGAAAUGGCAACUUGCUCCAGUACUCUUGCCUGAAGAAUCUCAUGGACAGAGGAGCCUGGCGGGCUGGGGUCCAAAGGGUCUCGAAGGGUUGGACAGGACUGAGCGAUGAAGCACGCAUGCCAAUGGAGGAGACACGGGGGUCUAUCCCGGGUCUGGGAAGAACCCACACGCUGAGCGGCGGCGAAGCCCGGGCGCCACAACUACUGAGCCUGCGCUCUAGAGCCCGGGAGCCGCAACUGCGGGAGCCCGAGCGCCCAGAGCCGGUGCUCCGCAACAAAGGAAGCCGCUGCGGCGAGAAGCCCGCGCACCGCAACCAGAGAGGAGCCCCCACCUUCUGCAACGAGAGCAGAGAGCACACGCAGCUAAGACGACUCAGCACAGUCAGACAAAUAAACAAGAGAUCUUCCCCAUCCAGGAACUGAAUCCGUGUCUUCUUCACUGUGGGCAGAUGCUUCACCGCCAAGCCUGUGGAUACAGGCCCCGUAGUGCUGGGGCACCUCCAGACCUCAUGGUACAGAUUCUCCCGGCAGCCUCGGAAGGAGCCCACCCUGCCCACAUCUCGAUCCUGGGCUUCUGGCCUCCGGAACAGGGAGACAACGCAUCUCUGCUCUUUCAGCC
ensembl:lncRNA